rnacentral:rRNA from 1 species
UACGGAGGAUCCGAGCGUCAUCCGGAUUUAUUGGGUUUAAAGGGUGCGCAGGCGGGGGAUUAAGUCGGCGGUGAAAUUUUGCAGCUCAACUGUAAAAGUGCCUUCGAAACUGGUUUCCUUGAGUGUAGAUGAAGUAGGCGGAAUUUGUGGUGUAGCGGUGAAAUGCAUAGAUAUCACGAGGAACUCCGAUUGCGCAGGCAGCUUACUAAACUACUACUGACGCUCAGGCACGAAGGCGUGGGGAUCAAACAGGAUUAGAUACCCUGGUA